AGUGAACGCUGGCGGUAGGCCUAACACAUGCAAGUCGAACGGCAGCACAGUAAGAGCUUGCUCUUACGGGUGGCGAGUGGCGGACGGGUGAGGAAUACAUCGGAAUCUACUUUUUCGUGGGGGAUAACGUAGGGAAACUUACGCUAAUACCGCAUACGACCUACGGGUGAAAGCAGGGGAUCUUCGGACCUUGCGCGAUUGAAUGAGCCGAUGUCGGAUUAGCUAGUUGGCGGGGUAAAGGCCCACCAAGGCGACGAUCCGUAGCUGGUCUGAGAGGAUGAUCAGCCACACUGGAACUGAGACACGGUCCAGACUCCUACGGGAGGCAGCAGUGGGGAAUAUUGGACAAUGGGCGCAAGCCUGAUCCAGCCAUACCGCGUGGGUGAAGAAGGCCUUCGGGUUGUAAAGCCCUUUUAUUGGGAAAGAAAAGCAGCAGAUUAAUACCCCGCUGUUCUGACGGUACCCAAAGAAUAAGCACCGGCUAACUUCGUG
rnacentral:rRNA from 1 species